AGGAUGAGGAGCCUUUUAACCCUGACUACGUGGAGGUCGACCGGAUCCUGGAUGAGUCUCACAGUGUCGAUAAGGACAACGGAGAGCCGGUGAUCUAUUACCUGGUGAAGUGGUGCUCCCUGCCUUAUGAGGACAGUACCUGGGAGCUUAAGGAGGACGUGGACGAGGGGAAGGUCCGUGAGUUCAAACGCAUCCAGGCCCGGCACCCUGAGCUCAAACGCGUGGCCCGUCCCCAGGCCAUCUCCUGGAAAAAACUGGAGCUCUCCCACGAGUACAAGAACCGCAACCAGCUACGGGAGUAUCAGCUGGAGGGGGUCAACUGGCUGCUCUUCAACUGGUAC